UACGAGGGGUCUAAGCGUUGUUCGGAAUCACUGGGCGUAAAGCGGGUGUAGGUGGCUAAGCCAGUCAUAUGUGAAAGCCCCGGGCUCAACCCGGGAAGUGCAUGUGAUACUACUUAGCUUGAGUACGGGAGAGGGAAACAGAAUUCCUGGUGUAGUGGUGAAAUACGUAGAUAUCAGGAGGAACACCGGUGGCGAAGGCGGUUUCCUGGCCCAGUACUGACACUCAGACCCGAAAGCGUGGGUAGCAAACAGG
rnacentral:rRNA from 1 species